CAGCUUUGGAAAUUUUUACAGUAUGUUUGGAACAACUUGGACCAGCAAAUAAUCCCUGGGAUAACACUGCUGCCCUGCGAGCCCCAGUUCCCGUUUAACUUUACUGAAUAGGGUGAGAAAAUACAGCUUGUUUAUACCAUAUGGAAGCUCUUCUACUGUACGAGGCAUCACAGAGCUGCGUGCCGUGAAGCUCUCCACGGGACACCCAGCCAGGGGACAUCCCCGCCCUUCUACAGCCCAAGCACCGCCGUUGCACACACUGUAUGUAAACACAGUCCGUACAAAGAGAGCUGGCCACGCGGGUGCUCUGACCCCGGGGCCAGCCUCCCUCCAACCUCUGACUUCAGUAAUCUGUCAAAGCUCACAGUUUGCUCCUCAGUCAACACGGAAGCUCUGAGUGCGGCCUCGGCGGUGACUGCCUUUCCUGGACUUGGAUGGGCGUGCCAGUUCCCACUCACUGCUAGGCCUUUGCAGUCACUUUCGCAAACCUGGGAUUCAAAGUAGCCAGUGAUGUUUGCAUCUUCACCUUCCAUACUCUGUCCGUGCAGGGACCACGGAGGGUUGGGCCUCUCUGAAGCUUUAGGAUAAUGUAACUGGGUUUCUUAUCUACUGUUCUGUUUUCUGAUACAUUGGACCAUACCGCCUGCUCCAUGUUUAAAGUAGCAAAGAUACUAUUAACUUGAAAGUCCUCUUUCUCCCAACACUUGAAAUAGUGGAGAAAGUAGGGCUCUCAGAGUAAGAGAACUGGGUUCAGAUCCCAGGUUAGCUACUUAGUAGGACAUUUAUAUAUUCCUUUAUCCAGUAUAUUCCUAUGCUUAAAUACUCCAGUUGACAUUCCUCCACACGAUGGGAAACCAAUGGAAAGCUCAAAGGCCCAGCUGAGGCCCAAAUGGGAAAGCUGAGUCUUCGAGGCCGGCCGAGAGAGGACAGCAGUAAUUGGGACAGGUGACCUCAGCAGCCUUUCUCCAAGUGUUGUCACUUGACAAUGAGGCUCAGGGCUCCACUCUGGACCUCCUGAGGCUUUGAGGUUGGGGGGGGUCUUCUGACAGCUCAGGUUUCAGAACCACUGCUCAUGAGGGAAAGAAAAAUAUUAGGGGAUAAGCCUGAACCACUGAGAUCCAGGAGCCCCUUCUCACAUGGCAGGGGGCAGACACAGUUUGGUUUUAUUUAAAAAGCCAUUCAGUUUCCUUACACCCACCUUCUGUGUUGAUGUGAGGAGGAGAAAUUACAUUUGAAAAGUGCCUCUUGGGACUUCCCUGGUGGCGCAGUGGUUAAGAAUCCGCCUGCCAACGCAGGGGACACAGGUUCGAGCCCUGGUCCGGGAAGAUCCCACGUGCCGCAGAGCAACUAAGCCCGUGCGCCACAACUACUGAGCCCGCGUGCCACAACUACUGCAGCCCGCGUGCCUAGAGCCUGUGCUCCGCAACGAGAAGCCACCGCAAUGAGAAGCCCACGCACCGCAACGAAGAGGAGCCCUGCUCGCCGGAACAAGAGAAAGCCCGCGCGCAGCAACGAAGUCCCAACACGGCCAAAAAUAAAUAAAUAAAUAAAGUGCCUCUUGGUCCACAAAUGGGAGGUAUUAAUAAUAUUAUGAAUAAUAAAGACCGCUUUGGUCCUUCUAGGUCGUACAUUCCUAUCUCCACCAUAAAGCACCAGUGGAAUCUAACGGCCUUCCUGGUGUUAUUAUGGGAUCGCAACAUUGUGUAUUAAGAUAUACUUUCACAGAAGAUCAAGGUUAGGUGUGAC